rnacentral:rRNA from 1 species
UACGUAGGUGGCGAGCGUUGUCCGGAUUUACUGGGCGUAAAGGGUGCGUAGGUGGUUUCUUAAGUCAGAGGUGAAAGGCUACGGCUCAACCGUAGUAAGCCUUUGAAACUGGGAAACUUGAGUGCAGGAGAGGAGAGUGGAAUUCCUAGUGUAGCGGUGAAAUGCGUAGAUAUUAGGAGGAACACCAGUUGCGAAGGCGGCUCUCUGGACUGUAACUGACACUGAGGCACGAAAGCGUGGGGAGCAAACAGGAUUAGAUACCCCCGUAGUCCCUGAGCGGGCU